GAUGAACGCUGGCGGCGUGCCUAACACAUGCAAGUCGAACGGAACUAUUUUGGAAACUCCUUCGGGAGCGGAAUCUUUAGUUUAGUGGCGGACGGGUGAGUAACGCGUGAGCAAUCUGCCUUUAAGAGGGGGAUAACAGUCGGAAACGGCUGCUAAUACCGCAUAAAGCAUUAAAUUCGCAUGUUUUUGAUGCCAAAGGAGCAAUCCGCUUUUAGAUGAGCUCGCGUCUGAUUAGCUGGUUGGCGGGGUAACGGCCCACCAAGGCGACGAUCAGUAGCCGGACUGAGAGGUUGAACGGCCACAUUGGGACUGAGACACGGCCCAGACUCCUACGGGAGGCAGCAGUGGGGAAUAUUGCGCAAUGGGGGAAACCCUGACGCAGCAACGCCGCGUGAUUGAAGAAGGCCUUCGGGUUGUAAAGAUCUUUAAUCAGGGACGAAACAAAUGACGGUACCUGAAGAAUAAGCUC
rnacentral:rRNA from 1 species